GCUGGAAGCUAUGUAGGACCAAAUUGUCUUGUGUUGAUAGUGCGCUGGGCAGAUUCCGGAGGAGCUUCUUGGGCAUCAUCUAAGUGUCCCUUGGGAAGGGGGAUCCCAGACUGAGAAAAAUACGUCCCUCAGAUUAGCCUCUAGGUGUUAGGUCUGGAGGAAACACAGGACAGAAGGCCAACGGAGGUACCUAUUAGCGUAUCAAAGUGGAUGCUCCUUCCCAGUGCCAGAGGAACAAGGAGACAAUAUGCCUCCAGGGUCUUGAUUGUCUGGCAUUUGGCCAGCUCCCCCACCCCCCCUUCACAUUUUGAAGCAGCUGCAUUGAUUACAGUCUAGUCCCUCUACUACUACUCCAGCCAUCUGCCAGGACUGGGGUCGCCAUUCCUGGAGGAUUAAGAAGAAAGCACGGAAGGCGGAGAGCCAGCAAAGUUUCUAGCACAUGGAAGGCCCUGGGGGCCGUGGCUACUCUUUACCUUUUUGGCUCAACUGAAUCAUUUCCA